CGACCGAGACCCCAUGUCAGGUCG
rnacentral:rRNA from 1 species